rnacentral:rRNA from 1 species
AUUGAACGCUGGCGGCAUGCCUUACACAUGCAAGUCGAACGGCAGCAUGAUCUAGCUUGCUAGAUUGAUGGCGAGUGGCGAACGGGUGAGUAAUACAUCGGAACGUGCCCUGUAGUGGGGGAUAACUAGUCGAAAGAUUAGCUAAUACCGCAUACGACCCGAGGGUGAAAGUGGGGGACCGCAAGGCCUCAUGCUAUAGGAGCGGCCGAUGUCUGAUUAGCUAGUUGGUGAGGUAAAGGCUCACCAAGGCGACGAUCAGUAGCUGGUCUGAGAGGACGAUCAGCCACACUGGGACUGAGACGCGGCCCAGACUCCUACGGGAGGCAGCAGUGGGGAAUUUUGGACAAUGGGGGCAACCCUGAUCCAGCAAUGCCGCGUGUGUGAAGAAGGCCUUCGGGUUGUAAAGCACUUUUGUCCGGAAAGAAAUCGCACUUACUAAUAUUAGGUGUGGAUGACGGUACCGGAAGAAUAAGGACCGGCUAACUACGUGCCAGCAGCCGCGGUAAAAC